AUGAAGCAGGCCGGCACGCCGUGCAUUCCAGUUUUCAUCCUCCUGUUCUUCGUCAGUCCAUUCUGCAGAUCCGAUGACCGGCUGUGGCCUGCAAAACCGCUCUCCGCCGGCGACACCAUCGUCUCCAAGGGCGGGGACUUUGCGCUCGGCUUCUUCUCCCCGGACAGCUCCAACACGAGCCUGUACCUUGGCAUAUGGUACCACAACAUGGCUGGUCGCACCGUCGUAUGGACCGCCAACCGCGACGAUCCAAUCCCCGCCGCUUCAUCUCCAACGCUCGCCAUCACCAACAGUUCCGACCUGGUGUUGUCCGACUCCCAAGGUCACACUCCUUGGGCCGUGAAGAGCGACAUCAAGGGCAGCAUGGGAGUUACUGCGGUGCUUCUUGACACGGGGAAUUUUGUCGUCCAGUCACCAAAUGACACAUCCAUUUGGCAGACCUUUGAUCACCCUACGGACACGCUCCUCCCAGGUAGGACCAUGUUGAGCAAGAAGGGCCAUGUCGUUUGGCGCCUGAUUGCUUCUAAGGGCCUCAAUGACCUGUCAACUGGAGUCUUUUCUAUGAGCCUUGAUCCUAGCUCGGACCUUCAGUUUUUCAUUUGGAACGGGGCUAGGCCCUAUCGCCGCCGCAUCUUCAACGGUGAGAUGGCGGUUGGCACAUUAUACCAGAACACUGUCUUGUAUGAAGCCAUUAUCAGGACAAGGGAUGGGUUCUAUUAUGAUUUUAGAGUUUCUGGUGCCUCGCAGUACGCACAUCUUACGCUCGACUACAUGGGUGUGUUGACUCUGAGCUUGAACAACCGCUCGUCAUGGAGAACCAUCACCGCACCCCCCGCUAGCUGCAACAUCUACGCUUCGUGUGGCCCGUUCGGCUAUUGUGACUACACGGCGGCUGUCCCGACAUGUAGUUGCCUUGAUGGGUUUGAGCCCUCUGGUCCUAACUUUUCAAGCGGAUGUAGAAGAAUCCAAGACCUGAAAUGCAGCAAGCAAAAUCAUUUCGUGACCUUACCUAGGAUGAUGCUCCCCGACAAAUUUUUACGUGUCCACAACAGAAGCUUCGGCGACUGCAUGACUGAGUGCAGCAACAAUUGCUUGUGUACAGCCUAUGCUUAUGCCAACUAUAGCACUAAUGAUGCUACGGCCGACCAGUCAAGGUGCUUGGUUUGGACAGGGGAGCUUAUCGACACAGGAAAGUUUAGCGAGUAUGGCGAGAACCUGUACCUCCGGCUUGCCAACUCUCCUGUUCAAAAGAAUAACAAAUUGGUAAAGAUUUUACUCCCAACCAUGGCAUGCGUGCUGAUACUUGCAUGUACAGCCCUUGUCAGCAUAUGCAAAUACAAAGCAGGCACACGGAAGAAGAAGGAAAUACACAAUGGACCGAUGCUAGGAUACCUUAGCUCGUUCAGUGAAAUGGGCGGUGAACAUGUGGAGUUUCCUUUUUUUAGCUUCGAAGAUAUUGCUGCUGCAACGGAUAAUUUCUCUGAAUUUAACCAAAUUGGAAGCGGAGGUUUUGGUAAAGUUUACAAGGGAAUGUUGCAAGGUGACAAAGAAGUUGCUAUCAAAAGGCUUAGUAAGGGCUCUGCUCAAGGGAUAGAGGAGUUCAAAAAUGAAAUAAUUCUGAUUGCGAAAUUGCAACACAGAAAUCUUGUUAGACUUCUUGGUUGCUGUAUUUAUGGAGAUGAGAGGUUACUUAUCUAUGAAUACUUACCUAACAAAAGCUUGGAUACAUUCCUUUUUGACGAUACAAGACAACAUGAGCUUGAUUGGUCCAUACGCUUCAAAAUAAUUAAAGGGGUAGCGAGAGGGCUUCUUUACCUCCACCAAGAUUCAAGAUUAACUAUAAUUCACAGAGAUCUCAAACCAAGCAACAUCUUGAUGGAUUAUGAAAUGACUCCCAAAAUAUCAGACUUCGGUAUGGCGAGGAUCUUUGGUGGAAACAAACAAGAGGCAAGCACUACCCGGGUUGUGGGGACAUAUGGUUACAUGUCGCCUGAAUAUGUGAUGGGAGGUGCUUUUUCUGUAAAAUCGGACACCUAUAGCUUCGGUGUUCUUCUCUUGGAGAUUGUAAGUGGCUUGAAGAUCACCUCGCCGCAACUCGUAAUGAACUUUGUCGGCCUUACAGCUUAUGCAUGGAGACUGUGGGUGGAUGGAAAAGCAACAGAACUGGUGCACUCUUCGGUUAUUGAGAGUUGUUCACUUGAUGAAGUUCUACGGUGUAUCCAUGUCGGACUCCUGUGCGUUCAAGACUGUCCGAAUGAUAGGCCACUCAUGGCAUCAGUUACUUUUAUGUUGGAGAAUGAAAGUGCACUGCUCCCAGCACCAAAGCAGCCUGCAUAUUUUCCUCUACGAAGUCUCGAACCAGGAAAAAUAAGGGGAAAUUCUAUGAAUUUAGUGAGUAUCACAACACUUGAUGGGCGUUAG
rnacentral:rRNA from 1 species